rnacentral:rRNA from 1 species
UACGGAGGGUGCAAGCGUUAAUCGGAAUUACUGGGCGUAAAGCGCACGCAGGCGGUUGGAUAAGUUAGAUGUGAAAGCCCCGGGCUCAACCUGGGAAUUGCAUUUAAAACUGUCCGGCUAGAGUCUUGUAGAGGGGGGUAGAAGUCCAGGUGUAGCGGGGAAAUGCGUAGAGUUCUGGAGGAAUACCGGAGGCGAAGGCGGCCCCCAGGACAAAGACUUACGCUCAGGUGCGAAAGCGUGGGGUGCAAACAGG